CCUACGGGAGGCUGCAGUAGGGAAUCUUCCACAAUGGGCGAAAGCCUGAUGGAGCAACGCCGCGUGGGUGAAGAAGGUCCUCCGAUCGUAAAACCCUGUUGUUAGAGAAGAAAGUUCGUGCGAGUAACCGUUCACGUUUCGACGGUAUCUAUCCAGAAAGCCACGGCUAAUUACGUGCCAGCAGCCGCGGUAAUACGUAGGUGGCAAGCGUUAUCCGGAUUUAUUGGGCGUAAAGGGAACGCAGGCGGUCUUUUAAGUCUGAUGUGAAAGCCUUCGGCUUAACCGGAGUAGUGCAUUGGAUACUGGGAGACUUGAGUGCAGAAGAGGAGAGUGGAACUCGAGGUGUAGCGGUGAAAUGCGUAGAUAUAUGGAAGAACGCCAAUGGCGAAAGCAGCUCUCUGAUCUGUAACUGACGCUGAGGUUCGAAAGCGUGGGUAGCAAACAGGAUUAGAUACCCUGGUAGUC
rnacentral:rRNA from 1 species